rnacentral:rRNA from 1 species
GAUGAACGCUGGCGGCGUGCCUAAUACAUGCAAGUCGAGCGAACAGACGAGGAGCUUGCUCCUUCGACGUUAGCGGCGGACGGGUGAGUAACACGUAGGUAACCUACCUAUAAGACUGGGAUAACUUCGGGAAACCGGAGCUAAUACCGGAUAAUAUUUCGAACCGCAUGGUUCGAUAGUGAAAGAUGGCUUUGCUAUCACUUAUAGAUGGACCUGCGCCGUAUUAGCUAGUUGGUAAGGUAACGGCUUACCAAGGCAACGAUACGUAGCCGACCUGAGAGGGUGAUCGGCCACACUGGAACUGAGACACGGUCCAGACUCCUACGGGAGGCAGCAGUAGGGAAUCUUCCGCAAUGGGCGAAAGCCUGACGGAGCAACGCCGCGUGAGUGAUGAAGGUCUUCGGAUCGUAAAACUCUGUUAUUAGGGAAGAACUAACGUGUAAGUAACUGUGCACGUCUUGACGGUACCUAAUCAGAAAGCCACGGCUAACUACGUG